GAUCAUGGCUCAGGAUGAACGCUGGCGGCGUGCUUAACACAUGCAAGUCGAACGAAGAUAUUUAGAAUGAGAGCUUCGGCAGGAUUUUUAUCUAUCUUAGUGGCGGACGGGUGAGUAACGUGUGGGCAACCUGCCCUGUACUGUGGAAAUAAUCAUUGGAAACGAUGACUAAUACCGCAUGUGGUCCUCGGAAGGCAUCUUCUGAGGAAGAAAAGGAUUUAUUCGGUACAGGAUGGGCCCG
rnacentral:rRNA from 1 species